rnacentral:rRNA from 1 species
AUUGAACUCUGGCGGCAUGCCUUACACAUGCAAGUCGAACGGCAGCACGGAGCUUGCUCUGGUGGCGAGUGGCGAACGGGUGAGUAAUAUAUCGGAACGUACCCUGGAGUGGGGGAUAACGUAGCGAAAGUUACGCUAAUACCGCAUACGAUCUAAGGAUGAAAGUGGGGGAUCGCAAGACCUCAUGCUCGUGGAGCGGCCGAUAUCUGAUUAGCUAGUUGGUAGGGUAAAAGCCUACCAAGGCAUCGAUCAGUAGCUGGUCUGAGAGGACGACCAGCCACACUGGAACUGAGACACGGUCCAGACUCCUACGGGAGGCAGCAGUGGGGAAUUUUGGACAAUGGGCGAAAGCCUGAUCCAGCAAUGCCGCGUGAGUGAAGAAGGCCUUCGGGUUGUAAAGCUCUUUUGUCAGGGAAGAAACGGUGAGAGCUAAUAUCUUUUGCUAAUGACGGUACCUGAAGAAUAAGCACCGGCUAACUACGUGCCAGCAGCCGCGGUAAUACGUAGGGUGCAAGCGUUAAUCGGAAUUACUGGGCGUAAAGCGUGCGCAGGCGGUUUUGUAAGUCUGAUGUGAAAUCCCCGGGCUCAACCUGGGAAUUGCAUUGGAGACUGCAAGGCUAGAAUCUGGCAGAGGGGGGUAGAAUUCCACGUGUAGCAGUGAAAUGCGUAGAUAUGUGGAGGAACACCGAUGGCGAAGGCAGCCCCCUGGGUCAAGAUUGACGCUCAUGCACGAAAGCGUGGGGAGCAAACAGGAUUAGAUACCCUGGUAGUCCACGCCCUAAACGAUGUCUACUAGUUGUCGGGUCUUAAUUGACUUGGUAACGCAGCUAACGCGUGAAGUAGACCGCCUGGGGAGUACGGUCGCAAGAUUAAAACUCAAAGGAAUUGGCGGGGACCCGCACAAGCGGUGGAUGAUGUGGAUUAAUUCGAUGCAACGCGAAAAACCUUACCUACCCUUGACAUGGCUGGAAUCCCCGAGAGAUUGGGGAGUGCUCGAAGGAGAACCAGUACACAGGUGCUGCAUGGCUGUCGUCAGCUCGUGUCGUGAGAUGUUGGGUUAAGUCCCGCAACGAGCGCAACCCUUGUCAUUAGUUGCUACGAAAGGGCACUCUAAUGAGACUGCCGGUGACAAACCGGAGGAAGGUGGGGAUGACGUCAAGUCCUCAUGGCCCUUAUGGGUAGGGCUUCACACGUCAUACAAUGGUACAUACAGAGCGCCGCCAACCCGCGAGGGGGAGCUAAUCGCAGAAAGUGUAUCGUAGUCCGGAUUGUAGUCUGCAACUCGACUGCAUGAAGUUGGAAUCGCUAGUAAUCGCGGAUCAGCAUGUCGCGGUGAAUACGUUCCCGGGUCU